UACAGAGGUCUCAAGCGUUGUUCGGAUUCAUUGGGCGUAAAGGGUGCGUAGGUGGCGGGGUAAGUCUGGUGUGAAAGUCCUGGGGCUCAACCCCGGAACUGCACUGGAUACUGCUUUGCUAGAGUACUGGAGAGGGAACUGGAAUUUACGGUGGUAGCGGAUGAAAUGCGCAGAUAUCAGGAGGAACACCAGUGGCGAAGGCGAGUCCCUGGACACUUCCUGACACUGAGGCACGAAAGCUAGGGGAGCAAACAGG
rnacentral:rRNA from 1 species